GGCUCAGUAACACGUGAUCAACUUACCCUUCAGAAGCGCAUAACCUCGGGAAACUGAGGAUAAUUCGCUAUAUUUGGAAAAGUCUGGAACGAUUUUCCAUUCAAAGAGUUUUCUAAUUGGGGAAAAUUUCGCUGAAGGAUAGGAUCGCUCCCGAUUAUGGUUGUUGGUGAGGUAAUGGCUCACCAAGCCUAUGAUCGGUAAGGGCCGUGAGAGCGGAAGCCCUGAGAUGGGUACUGAGACAANGACCCAGGUCUUACGAGACGCAGCAGGCGCNAAACCUUUACAAUGCGCGAAAGCGUGAUAAGGUUACCCGGAGUGCUAGAGGCUGAAAUCCUCUAUCUGUUGUAGGGUGUAGAUAUCCCUACGAGAAAGGAGAGGGCAAGGNUGGUGCCAGCCGCCGCGGUAAAACCAGCUCUUCAAGUGGUCGGGCCAAUUAUUGGGCUUACAGUGUCCGUAGCCGGUUUAGUCAGUUCCCUGGUUUAAAUUCUGGCAGCCUUAACUGUCACAUUGCUGGGAAUACUGCUUUACUAGGGGGCGGNAAAGGUCUGAGGUUACUCCAGCGGUA
rnacentral:rRNA from 1 species